rnacentral:rRNA from 1 species
UACGUAGGAGGCAAGCGUUAUCCGGAAUGACUGGGCGUAAAGGGUGCGUAGGUGGUUUGGCAAGUUAGUAGCGUAACUCCGGAGCUCAACUUCGGAACUACUCCUAAAACUGUCGGACUUGAGUGCAGGAGGGGCAACUGGAAUUCCUAGUGUAGCGGUGGAAUGCGUAGAUAUUAGGAGGAACACCAGUGGCGAAGGCGAGUUGCUGGACUGUAACUGACACUGAGGCACGAAAGCGUGGGGAGCAAACAGG